rnacentral:rRNA from 1 species
AGAGUUUGAUCAUGGCUCAGAUUGAACGCUGGCGGCAGGCCUAACACAUGCAAGUCGAACGGUAACAGGAAGCAGCUUGCUGCUUUGCUGACGAGUGGCGGACGGGUGAGUAAUGUCUGGGAAACUGCCUGAUGGAGGGGGAUAACUACUGGAAACGGUAGCUAAUACCGCAUAACGUCGCAAGACCAAAGAGGGGGACCUUAGGGCCUCUUGCCAUCGGAUGCCCAGAUGGGAUUAGCUAGUAGGUGGGGUAACGGCUCACCUAGGCGACGAUCCCUAGCUGGUCUGAGAGGAUGACCAGCCACACUGGAACUGAGACACGGUCCAGACUCCUACGGGAGGCAGCAGUGGGGAAUAUUGCACAAUGGGCGCAAGCCUGAUGCAGCCAUGCCGCGUGUAUGAAGAAGGCCUUCGGGUUGUAAAGUACUUUCAGCGGGGAGGAAGGGAGUAAAGUUAAUACCUUUGCUCAUUGACGUUACCCGCAGAAGAAGCACCGGCUAACUCCGUGCCAGCAGUCGCGGUAAUACGGAGGGUGCAAGCGUUAAUCGGAAUUACUGGGCGUAAAGCGCACGCAGGCGGUUUGUUAAGUCAGAUGUGAAAUCCCCGGGCUCAACCUGGGAACUGCAUCUGAUACUGGCAAGCUUGAGUCUCGUAGAGGGGGGUAGAAUUCCAGGUGUAGCGGUGAAAUGCGUAGAGAUCUGGAGGAAUACCGGUGGCGAAGGCGGCCCCCUGGACGAAGACUGACGCUCAGGUGCGAAAGCGUGGGGAGCAAACAGGAUUAGAUACCCUGGUAGUCCACG